rnacentral:rRNA from 1 species
UUUGUUUUUUAAUUAAAAACURGAAUGAAAGGUUAUACAUUUAAAUUUCUUUAUUAAUUUUUUAUAUAUAAUUUAUAUUAAAUAUAAAAAUAUAUUUUUUAAAUAAAAAGACGAUAAGACCCUAUUAAAUUUUACUUAUAGUUUAACUGGGGAAGUUUUAAAAAUAAAAUUUUUUAUAAAAAUAAAAAUAAAUCUAAUAAAAUUAAAAUUAAAUUAAAUUACUAUAGGGAUAACAGCAUUAUAUUUUUUAAAAGUUCAUAUUAAAAAAAAUGAUUGUGACCUCGAUGUUGAAUUAUAUUUUCUUUAUUAAUGCAAUAAUUAUAAAAGUAGAUCUGUUCGAUCUUUAAAAUAUUACAUGAUUUGAGUUCAAACCGGUGUAAACCAGGUUGGUUUCUAUCUUUUUAUAAAUUCAUAUAUAUAUGUAUAUAUAUAUAUAUAUAAAUUUUUCAAGUACGAAAGGAAAAAAAAAUUUUUAUUUUAAUUAAUUAGCAAUUAAUAUGCAUUAGAUUUAGAAUCUAAAUAAACUAUUAUUAUUAUUAUUAAUUCUUUUAUUUUUAUUAUUAUAUUAUUAAUUUCAGUAGCAUUUUAUACAAUUUUAGAACGAAAAAUUUUAAGAUAUAUUCAAAUUCGAAAAGGUCCAAAUAAAGUAGGUUUUAUAGGAAUUUUACAACCAUUUAGUGACGCUAUCAAAUUAUUUAAUAAAAAUUUAAUUUCAUCUGAAAGAAUAAAUUUUAUAUUAUCGUAUAUAACUCCAGCAUUAUCUUUAAUUUUAAUAAUAAUAAUUAUUUCUAUAUUACCAUUAUAUUUUUAUUCUUUAUUUGAUAAUAAAAAUAACAUUUUAAUAUUUUU